GCCUGGAUAGCUCAGUUGGUUAGAGCGUGGGGCUAAUAAUAAUAAUAAUAAUUUAUUAUUUGUACCCCGCCCAUCUGGCUGGGUUUCCCCAGCCACUCUCGGCCGCUUCCAACAAAGAUUAAAAAUACAUUAAAAUGUCACACAUUAAAAACUUCCCUGAACAGGGCUGCAAGGUUGCAGGUUUGAUCCCUGUAUGGGACC